rnacentral:rRNA from 1 species
GGGUCAGUAGGUUGGUCGUGCCACCGGUACGUACUGGUCUCACCGAUUCCUCCCUCCUGAAGAACCGUAAUGCCAUUAAUUUGGUGUUGCGGGGAAACAGGACUGUUACUUUGAAAAAAUUAGAGUGUUUAAAGCAAGCUAACGCUUGAAUACAUUAGCAUGGAAUAAUGAAAUAGGACGAUCGAUCCUAUUUUGUUGGUUUCUAGGAUUGACGUA